AGGCUUCGGCCUUAGUGGCGCACGGGUGCGUAACGCGUGGGAAUCUGCCCCUGGGUACGGAAUAACAGUUAGAAAUGACUGCUAAUACCGUAUGAUGACGUAAGUCCAAAGAUUUAUCGCCCAGGGAUGAGCCCGCGUAGGAUUAGCUAGUUGGUGGGGUAAAGGCCUACCAAGGCGACGAUCCUUAGCUGGUCUGAGAGGAUGAUCAGCCACACUGGGACUGAGACACGGCCCAGACUCCUACGGGAGGCAGCAGUGGGGAAUAUUGGACAAUGGGCGAAAGCCUGAUCCAGCAAUGCCGCGUGAGUGAUGAAGGCCUUAGGGUUGUAAAGCUCUUUUACCCGGGAAGAUAAUGACUGUACCGGGAGAAUAAGCCCCGGCUAACUCCGUGCCAGCAGCCGCGGUAAUACGGAGGGGGCUAGCGUUGUUCGGAAUUACUGGGCGUAAAGCGCACGUAGGCGGCUUGGUAAGUUAGAGGUGAAAGCCUGGAGCUCAACUCCAGAAUUGCCUUUAAGACUGCCGAGCUUGAAUCGCGGAGAGGUGAGUGGAAUUCCGAGUGUAGAGGUGAAAUUCGUAGAUAUUCGGAAGAACACCAGUGGCGAAGGCGGCUCACUGGACGCGUAUGACGCUG
rnacentral:rRNA from 1 species